AUAUCUCUCUGUACGGGAAGGAUGAGAAGCUUCGACCAGGGUUCGAUUCGAGCGCAGCGAGAAAGCGUUGCCGCAGGCAACGACCCGAAGGGCGAAGCGCGCAGCGCUGAGUCAUCCUUCCCCCACAACCA
rnacentral:sRNA from 1 species